rnacentral:ncRNA from 2 species
UUACUGCGUAGUGGGAGAGACUGGCACGCUGCCAGCGCCGAAGGAGCAACCGCCCCGGAAACUCUCAGGCAAAAGGACCCUACGCAGUAA